CAGUAGCCGCGGUAAUACGGAGGGUGCAAGCGUUAUCCGGAUUUAUUGGGUUUAAAGGGUCCGUAGGCGGAUCUGUAAGUCAGUGGUGAAAUCUCACAGCUUAACUGUGAAACUGCCAUUGAUACUGCAGGUCUUGAGUAAAUUUGAAGUGGCUGGAAUAAGUAGUGUAGCGGUGAAAUGCAUAGAUAUUACUUAGAACACCAAUUGCGAAGGCAGGUCACUAAGAUUUAACUGACGCUGAUGGACGAAAGCGUGGGGAGCGAACAGGAUUAGAGACCCCCGUAGUCCCUGUCUCUUAUAC
rnacentral:rRNA from 1 species